AUACUAGCUAGAUCUAAGCUGUGAGACUAUAAUACGUACAUGUAGACUAUACAGUACAUGAUCUACUGGAAAAGUUUUUUUUACUGUUGCAUGGAAUCUUCUUCAAAAGAUGCAGAAACAGUGUAUAUUGGCAUGUGUUCAACUUCUGUUCUAUGCUGUGCUCCAUUAUGUAUCUGGUCAGUGUGAUGUUGGUGCGACUGUAUUUACUGAAACAAAUGCAAGGACAAACAACGCAUUUUACCUGAACUCUGCGAAACCAGUGAGCUGUAAUGGAACCAUCAAUUCCUUCUCCUAUUGCUAUUACAGGCCAUCACGACGACAAUUUGAUGUCUACGUAGCUACGUUUGCUGUGUAUCGACUGAAUUCUCGGGGAACUAUGUAUAAUCCUGUGUCGGAGGUAUUUCAAGCCAGACAGACUCAAGAAGAAAUCAGUGAGAUUGAUUUUGCUUGCUCCACUGUCACUCUUAAACAACGAGUGUCCGUGGAGACUGGUGAUGUAUUUGGAGCUUGUGUUGUUAAUCCCUCUGACAGGAAUAUGUUUCGACUCGAUCUAGUUGGAAGAGGAACAGACAGACUACGAAGAAUAUCACAGCCAUCUCGCUCUCAAUGUAGCGAAACUGCAGUACCUACUAGUGUAUCAGUAUCUGGUAAUACAGUAACUGGAACUCUUUACAUUAAUGCAAUGGUGGUGUCGAAUGAUAUUUCUGAACCAGCAACAACUACAGAUGAGGUAGCGAUAACUACUAAUUCUCCUACCAUGACAACGGAUGAAGCAAUUCGAACUAGUGCAACUGAUACCACAGAUAGUAUGCCUGCUCCAAACUCUCCUAGCAGUGCAGCUGGCCCAACAGCUGCUGCCGUGGUGGUAGUUUUGCUUAUUCUAGCUGGUUUGAUUGCAACUGUUACUGUGAUUGUGAUUGUUUGGAAAGGCAAACAAAAACGAAACAGGCCUACGAGCUCAUACACGGUCUCCACACAUCCUCGUCAAGAUGUAGCACUUGGUAUUGAUAACAUGGUGUAUGCCGUUGAUGGUGGGAAGGAGUCAGCAAACAAUAGGAAAGAAAGUGAAGACUACUACGAGGUGUCUCAGGAGCAUUUUUACGAGCUAACCGAGAGUAACAAGAUGAUGGAGUUAAGUAGCAGCUACUAUGCUGAGAUUGGACCGUUCAAUGAAGUGGUCGAUGAAAAUGUGUAUGAGUCGCCACUGGAUGCUAAAUCAAUCAGUUUUGUCAAACUCAUGGAAAAGAAUAGACUAGAAGAUAUCUACGGAUACGAGAAUCCAUAUGAAGUGCCAGCUGAAAGUGAAGAUCACAUAUAUGAGCAAUUUAGCAGCUGGGGAAUCUCCACUAUAACAUCUGGAGAUGUGAAGAUUGCUGGUCACCUUAGGUCUGGUCAGUUUGGCAGUGUGGAGCAAGGAGUGUGGAAGAGACAGGGAACUCAACCAGUGGACGUGGCACUCAAGAGUCUCACCAAAACAUCAGAGGAGGAUAAAGUCAAGUUCCUCCAAGAAGCCGCCAUCAUGGCUCAGUUCAGACACCCUAAUAUCAUCAUGCUCCAUGGAGUAAUCAGCGAACAACACCCUAUAAGACUAGUCGUUGAGUUGGCUAAAAGAGGUGAUCUUCGUAACCUCCUACGGUCUCUAAGGCCUGAUCCUGGCCAGCUUCUUCCUGGGAGUACUUCAUCAAUGUUACUGAAGUUCUCUCAACAAGUGGCUCUUGGGAUGCAGUACCUCUCAGCUAAAGGAUUUGUGCACAGAGACUUGGCUGCUAGGAAUGUGCUAGUUACUCAAAACAACAUGUGCAAAGUUGCUGAUUUUGGAAUGUCCCGAGAUCUCAAUGAUGAGAACUACUACGUCUCACAAGCAAGAGGCAUGAUCCCCGUCAAGUGGACAGCCCCUGAGGCCCUUCACUACAAAAAGUACUCGACUGCCAGUGAUGUGUGGGCCUACGGGUGUCUGCUCUAUGAGAUAUGGAGUCUGGGACACAAGCCGUUUGAAAAUUUUGAAAACCUUGAGACUAUUCAAUUGGUGGACUCUGGUCAACGUCUAUCUCCACCUCCUGGCUGCUCAAAAAUAAUCUAUCAGCUUAUGAUGCAUUGCUGGCAUUCUGAGAGUUCCCAACGUCCUGGUUUUCGUGACAUUGUGCUGAUGCUGGUUGGCAGUGAGAAGAUGGUCCUGAACAUUCCCGAGGAGGACUCCUCCACUAACCCACUGGCUGGAGUAUUGGGAGCUCCACUGGAGGCCGGGAAGAACAUGUACUCUCAGCUGCAGAACAGAUACAGUAGAAGUGUAUUAACUGUUUAAUUUUUAUUGUGCACCAAACUUCACACCAGCUCCACCCCUUUUGCAAAAAACAUUAAAUGGUCACAAGAUCUCUAUACAUUAUUAACUAUAUGCAGUAGUCUGCAGUCUACAGUGCAUUUUUAGUUUAAGAGCUAGACUAUAUCUAUGUAGUCUUGUAGAUCUAUCUUAGACUACUUGUAAGAUGAGUAAGUCAUCAGGUCUUGCUCAGUGGACAGUAAUCAUCUGCUUUUAUAUAGCCCUUGAGGUGCUCACAAUCCAUGGGCAAAGUUGUCUUGUUGGAACUGAUUCUUCUACAGAGUUAGUAGCCAACAGAGAACAUAGUUUCUACCUCAACACUCAAGAUCCAGCUCAAUGCGACGGGACAAUAACUGAAUUUAAUUUCUGCUACUAUCGCUCAACUCCAUUGGCUGCAUCGUAUGACUUCACCUUCGCUGUGUUCAGAAGAAGCAGUGCAGAAUAUAUAAGUGUAUCAGAAGCAUUCACUACAGGCAGAACUGUGGCUAAUUCUAACCUUGGCUUGUUUGGCACAUUUGCCUGUAGAACUUUUUCGGUAAAUGAUAUUCUAGUGCAGGCUGGCGAUGUGAUUGGUGUUUGCAUUUACGACCCUCCAGACAAUGCUGAAUCUGUCAGAAUACUUGGGAAUGAUUAUACUAACAGACUACCAAUAGACAUGGUUAGCCAAAAUGCAGGAGAAGAUCGUUUUCUUAUGUCCACCGGUAACACUGGCUAUGGAGACAUGUCCGUCCCAAGUCCAGUAGCAGUUAGUUCUCUUAAUAUAUAGCAGACGACAGAGUUUUACACAUCCAUGCCAACAUAACUCCUCUCCCAACAACUGAACCUCAAACCAACCCCACGACUAUGGGCACAACACCACCCUCCUCGACAGAUCUUCCCAUAGCUACUGACAGCAUGAAAGAGACUGAAAACUCAACAGGCACAAUAGAGAUUACUCUCUCAAAUGAGGUGCCACUAACAAACUCUGCCACAACUAGUACAGGAAAUGAUUCGAUCACCACAAUGCCUUCUAGUGUCUCUUUUGCCCCAGCGGAUAAUACUGGAGUUGUAGCAGGUGUGGUGGUGUUUCUAUUGCUAGUAAUUGUCGUGGCAGUGGUGACUUUAGUAGUUGCUGUUUUUCUGGUAAAGAGAGGAAGAUCCCAAAAGGAGAUAAUAGAGGGCAAUGUUGGUGGGAACACUGAUACUGGAAUCAACAAUGAGAUGGAAAGAAGCCCUCACUCCAUCAGUCUAAAGUCCAACGAGGCUUACGGUGUUCACGGCGAGACUCAAGACACUCCCACAGACUACUACGAUAAUGUUCUUACGGAAUCGACUGCAGAGGGGCCUCUCUAUGAUAGUGUCACAGAAUCUAGAGAAGGACAAUUAUCAACAACUCCCACUCAAUUAACAGCCCAAUGAUUUAAACCCUUAUGUGACUUAUGAGGUAGUACCAGGACCUACACAUUACAACGAUUCCUGUCAACCGAUACCUUUGGAAAAUAAUGAAGCUUACAGUGUACACAAAUCUGGAAAUGAAAGAAGUAUAGAAAUGCCGGGUGAAACAUACUUUCAAGAAGUGGACCUGAAGUCCAACGAGGCGUAUGGUGUGAGAGGGGAGGUGCAAGUUGCUGCCAUUAAUGGGACCACUGAUGCAGUGUGCUAUAGUGUCAUUGCUGAUUCGCCUGGUCAGCAAUCUGGAGAAGCAACCAGUGGAACUGAAAUUCAAAUGGACAGUAAUGAGGCAUAUCGCACAUCUGAGAGAGAUAGACAAACUGAAGAAACACUUGAUUAUGACUACGCUAUCCUGUAAACUGAUCAUGAAUCACUAGCUGUAUGCCUGAUCGUUGUAAUAUUUUAGUGUAACUGGUCGUUUUAAGAACCAGUGAUUCUUGCUUUUAGCAGCAGGAGACGACCUCCAUGCAUGCAGAAUUCAUGCUAACUAAAUAAUUAGCAUAGAGUAGAUAAACAUUAGCGUAAUCAGAUUUUUG